rnacentral:rRNA from 1 species
UACAGGGGGUGCAAACGUUGCUCGGAAUCAUUGGGCGUAAAGCGCACGUAGGCGGUUCGUUAUGUCGGAUGUGAAAGCCCUUGGCUUAACCGAGGAAGUGCAUCCGAAACUGGCGAGCUAGAGUACGAAAGAGGAUCGCGGAAUUCCCGGUGUAGAGGUGAAAUGCGCAGAUAUCGGGAAGAACACCCGUGGCGAAGGCGGCUCUCUGGGACGGUACUGACGCUGAGACGCGAAAGCGUGGGAGCGAACAGG